CCCCCGUCAUAUGAAGAGAGGCAUUCUUCAAAUUCUUUGAUUUACUCGGAAGUUCGUUUCUUCUGGUUGUUGCCGACGGUGGUGUUGACGGCGAUGGUAUCAUACAACCUCGUCUUCGUGGAAGUU
ensembl:ncRNA F55C5.12 ncRNA